rnacentral:rRNA from 2 species
GUGACUGCGUACCUUUUGUAUAAUGGGUCAGCGACUUAUAUUCUGUAGCAAGGUUAACCGAAUAGGGGAGCCGGAGGGAAACCGAGUCUUAAUUGGGCGUUAAGUUGCAGGGUAUAGACCCGAAACCCGGUGAUCUAGCCAUGGGCAGGUUGAAGGUUGGGUAACACUAACUGGAGGACCGAACCGACUAAUGUUGAAAAAUUAGCGGAUGACCUGUGGCUGGGGGUGAAAGGCCAAUCAAACCGGGAGAUAGCUGGUUCUCCCCGAAAGCUAUUUAGGUAGCGCCUCGUGAAUUCAUCUCCGGGGGUAGAGCACUGUUUCGGCUAGGGGGCCAUCCCGGCUUACCAACCCGAUGCAAACUGCGAAUACCGGAGAAUGUUAUCACGGGAGACACACGGCGGGUGCUAACGUCCGUCGUGAAGAGGGAAACAACCCAGACCGCCAGCUAAGGUCCCAAAGUCAUGGUUAAGUGGGAAACGAUGUGGGAAGGCCCAGACAGCCAGGAUGUUGGCUUAGAAGCAGCCAUCAUUUAAAGAAAGCGUAAUAGCUCACUGGUCGAGUCGGCCUGCGCGGAAGAUGUAACGGGGCUAAACCAUGCACCGAAGCUGCGGCAGCGACACUGUGUGUUGUUGGGUAGGGGAGCGUUCUGUAAGCCUGUGAAGGUGUGUCGUGAGGCAUGCUGGAGGUAUCAGAAGUGCGAAUGCUGACAUAAGUAACGAUAAAGCGGGUGAAAAGCCCGCUCGCCGGAAGACCAAGGGUUCCUGUCCAACGUUAAUCGGGGCAGGGUGAGUCGACCCCUAAGGCGAGGCCGAAAGGCGUAGUCGAUGGGAAACGGGUUAAUAUUCCCGUACUUGGUGUUACUGCGAAGGGGGGACGGAGAAGGCUAUGUUGGCCGGGCGACGGUUGUCCCGGUUUAAGCGUGUAGGUGUGUGUUCCAGGUAAAUCCGGUUCACUUUAACACUGAGGCGUGACGACGAGGCACUACGGUGCUGAAGCAACAAAUGCCCUGCUUCCAGGAAAAGCCUCUAAGCAUCAGGUAACAUCAAAUCGUACCCCAAACCGACACAGGUGGUCAGGUAGAGAAUACCAAGGCGCUUGAGAGAACUCGGGUGAAGGAACUAGGCAAAAUGGUGCCGUAACUUCGGGAGAAGGCACGCUGACACGUAGGUGAAGUGAUUUACUCAUGGAGCUGAAGUCAGUCGAAGAUACCAGCUGGCUGCAACUGUUUAUUAAAAACACAGCACUGUGCAAACACGAAAGUGGACGUAUACGGUGUGACGCCUGCCCGGUGCCGGAAGGUUAAUUGAUGGGGUCAGCGCAAGCGAAGCUCCUGAUCGAAGCCCCGGUAAACGGCGGCCGUAACUAUAACGGUCCUAAGGUAGCGAAAUUCCUUGUCGGGUAAGUUCCGACCUGCACGAAUGGCGUAAUGAUGGCCAGGCUGUCUCCACCCGAGACUCAGUGAAAUUGAACUCGCUGUGAAGAUGCAGUGUACCCGCGGCAAGACGGAAAGACCCCGUGAACCUUUACUAUAGCUUGACACUGAACAUUGAGCCUUGAUGUGUAGGAUAGGUGGGAGGCUUUGAAGUGUGGACGCCAGUCUGCAUGGAGCCGACCUUGAAAUACCACCCUUUAAUGUUUGAUGUUCUAACGUGGACCCGUUACCCGGGUUGCGGACAGUGUCUGGUGGGUAGUUUGACUGGGGCGGUCUCCUCCUAAAGAGUAACGGAGGAGCACGAAGGUUGGCUAAUCCUGGUCGGACAUCAGGAGGUUAGUGCAAUGGCAUAAGCCAGCUUGACUGCGAGCGUGACGGCGCGAGCAGGUGCGAAAGCAGGUCAUAGUGAUCCGGUGGUUCUGAAUGGAAGGGCCAUCGCUCAACGGAUAAAAGGUACUCCGGGGAUAACAGGCUGAUACCGCCCAAGAGUUCAUAUCGACGGCGGUGUUUGGCACCUCGAUGUCGGCUCAUCACAUCCUGGGGCUGAAGUAGGUCCCAAGGGUAUGGCUGUUCGCCAUUUAAAGUGGUACGCGAGCUGGGUUUAGAACGUCGUGAGACAGUUCGGUCCCUAUCUGCCGUGGGCGCUGGAGAACUGAGGGGGGCUGCUCCUAGUACGAGAGGACCGGAGUGGACGCAUCACUGGUGUUCGGGUUGUCAUGCCAAUGGCACUGCCCGGUAGCUAAAUGCGGAAGAGAUAAGUGCUGAAAGCAUCUAAGCACGAAACUUGCCCCGAGAUGAGUUCUCCCUGAGACUUUAGGUCUCCUGAAGGAACGUUGAAGACGACGACGUUGAUAGGCCGGGUGUGUAAGCGCAGCGAUGCGUUGAGCUAACCGGUACUAAUGAACCGUGAGGCUUAACCUU